AUAGCAAAACAAAGUCCCUACUCUCAUAGAAUUUACAUUCUAGUGGGAGAGAAAGGUAAUAAAUAAGAAUAAAAAUAUAUAUCAGGCAGUGAGAGUGAGGAAAGACGAAACCUGUAAAAGAUGGAGUGCCCAGACUUGCGGUGAGAUGGGAUUGGACUAUUUUUCAGAUGACAAGGUCUAAGAAGUUGUCAUCCGAACAGAAACAGGAAGUGGAAAAGGGAGUCCUGCGAAUAUCAACCUAGCCGGGAGCUUCUGGGCCGGGGCAACAACAGGCAAGAAGGUUGUGGCUUUGGCUUCUAGCCUCAAACCAGGGAUUAGGCGCUGGCCCAAUGCUGACAGAGCCCAGAGCCCUGCUUCUACAGCCCAGGAAGCCUGAGCAGACUACAGAGGCUGUCCAUCUUAAGAGAAAGGAAACUGAGCUUGGAUGAGGUUAAAUGGCUUGCCUGAGGUCACCACAGCAUGAGGGGAAGUGGCGGUACCCACCUCCAACCCAGGAUUUCCGACGCUUCGCAGCACACUAUUGCAAAGCUGUCUCUUUAUGUUGGUUUGUUCUGAAAAACAGAAUAUUGCUCAAGAAGUCCAUUCAAUAAGAGACGUUAGAGGGUUUUUCUUUGUUGUUGUUUUUGCUAUAAAGACAGAAACUUUCUGGCUAGUCAGCAUGUCAGAAAAGACUUCCAAAGUCGAUCAGUAAGAGGACACCAAAUCAUAGACACCAGUUUUGAUAGUGAGUGCUUUGGUAAAAUAAGUCUUAACACUGGUUUUCCAGACUUCACGGCACACUGUACAGUGUGUAGAAAAAGCAGCACUGUGCACAAGGAACAUGUGCACACGUGUGUCAACGUUCUCUCCCCAAAUGCAGAAUAAAGCGCUAAGCAGACUGAAAUAAGAUAAUAUUUAUGGCUGAAGAAAUUCAACUUCACAUAACGGCAAUUAUGAACAAGAUAUUUUCCCUAAUAAAAUUACUGCAAAACAAAAUCUGGAGAAACUAAGUGUUUCCCUAUGUCUUCUUUAUUUUACUCCAUGUGCUCAAAAAUGGUUGCGGCAAAGAAAGAGUAUAGCAAGCACAGGCAGAAGAGUCCUAGCCAGACGGCCUCUGCUGAGGGUUGCUUUUGCUUUAGAAACUGGAAUGUGUCCAGGCUUGAUUUUUAUUUUCAAUUCACAUUUCAGAUCCAGCUCCCCAAACUCUUUGAUCUUUC